GUGGGGAAUCUUGCACAAUGGGGGAAACCCUGAUGCAGCGACGCCGCGUGAGCGAUGAAGCCCUUCGGGGUGUAAAGCUCUUUCGGCGGGAACGAUAAUGACGGUACCCGCAGAAGAAGCUGCGGCUAACUACGUGCCAGCAGCCGCGGUAAUACGUAGGCAGCAAGCGUUGUUCGGAGUUACUGGGCGUAAAGAGUGUGUAGGCGGUCCUCUAAGUUCGGUGUGAAAUCUCCCGGCUCAACUGGGAGGGUGCGCCGGAAACUGGUGGGCUCGAGUGUGGGAGAGGGAAGCGGAAUUCCUGGUGUAGCGGUGAAAUGCGUAGAUAUCAGGAGGAACACCCGUGGUGUAGACGGCUUCCUGGACCACCACUGACGCUGAGACACGAAAGCGUGGGUAGCAAACAGGAUUAGAUACCCCGGUAGUCC
rnacentral:rRNA from 1 species